rnacentral:rRNA from 1 species
UACAGAGGGGGCAAGCGUUGUUCGGAAUUACUGGGCGUAAAGGGCGCGUAGGCGGCCUUCUAAGUCGAACGUGAAAUCCCUGGGCUCAACCCAGGAACUGCGUCCGAUACUGGAAGGCUUGAAUCCGGGAGAGGUGAGUGGAACUGCGAGUGUAGAGGUGAAAUUCGUAGAUAUUCGCAAGAACACCAGUGGCGAAGGCGGCUCACUGGCCCGGUACUGACGCUGAGGCACGAAAGCGUGGGGAGCAAACAGG